GAAGAAUUAAAUAUAAUAAAAAAGUAACUAAUUGCACAGUUCAUCUGGAAUUACGAGACGGAUUUUUUAAGCUUGGUUAGUCAAUAAUUAGACAAUAAUUAUCAAAUAUAAACAAAAAUACUAUAGUAGAUAUUUUGAAAAAAAAAGUCACAACUAAAUAGGGCAUUUGUAUUUGGGAGAAAUCAAGCGAGCAUGUGAAGUGGCAUUAUAGAGUCCGCGUCCGGCCUUCAGCAGCCUCAGCUCUAGUAGAUUCUCGACAGACCGUUGGAUGGCAAAGCAACGUAGCAGAUGAUGCUAAAGUUACGUUGUGACUUACUGAAGCAACGUUACUGAAUCUGCGUCCGAUAUCCAAAUAUGCCCUUAUCAGUGUUUUCUUACGGGUCCGUAGCAACAGUGCCAAUUACCCUACUGCUCUAGUUGCUUGUGCGUUACCAUGGUAUAAAUAAUGUUUUCUCUCAUAAUAAAUUAGCAUCAACAUCAGGGUUGGGGUUUAAAGUUUAACAGGUAUUGUAGCAUUUUCGUUUUAUGUCCACCAUUAAUUAAUUAGUCUUAAAAGUUUUAUAAAUAGUCUAUAUUUAAUACUUUAUACAUGUGUUUAAACAUUCGACGUCCGAUGUCACGGACGGUAAACUUUACCACCCGUCCGUGCAGCUUUCCACUGUCCAUUCAGGCUAGGGCAAUCGUUAGCUCUAGUUUUUGCCGGCCGCCGCCACCCACCCACGCACGGGCAUCAGGGCAUGGCGCAGACGAGCGCACGACCACAGUGCCGCUGCCGCACACCCACCCACUCUAGCAAGAUUGCGAGAUUGUGACGGCAUCGGAUGCGGCGGCCUCGGGCGCUUCCUGCGUCGUCGAGAAAAGCUGCGGCCCUGCGGAGCGGGAGUGCUGGGGUUCCCCAUUCGCGGGUUCGGCCGGCGUCCGGGGCUCCAGGCAGCCGGCGGCGAGAGCAGCUAGCGACCGUGGUGAGCUGACUUCACCUGAGGUGUGUUCUUCCCCGCACGUUCCAUCCUCUUUUCGCACCCGACGUUCCUUGUGUUUGCUCGCCCAUGUUCCCGUUCCGCGAGGAUCGGAAUCGGAACGAAGUGGGCACAUGCCCGUCUGCUAAGCGCCCAUCGCCUUCCUGACCUCCCGCGCCAGCGGCGGCGGCUUGCUGCCUGCCUGCCGGGAAGGGCGGCGGCUUGCUGCCUGCCUGCUUGGUACGGGAUAUUCUUUCUUUAUUAUACUAAUACUAAUAUAAAACACUAUGUCUCUAUAGUCAACGUCUUCUUUGGCUGUCACGUAGCAACUGCUGCAUCUAUAGUCUACAUAAGAGCAAGUGUUAUAGCAGGCUGCAAGCGAGCUAAAUGCUGAGGUGGAGGAGAGAGAGUAAAAGCUGGUUGUAAGCUUACAGCCAGUUCAGGCACAAAAACCAAAUGAUGAGCUAACCAUUAUAUGAGUGGGCUGUAAGAAGACUGUAAAGACUUACAGCCAGCAGCUGGCUGUAUUAUAAUACUUGCUCUAAGCACCAUGUCUAUACAUCCGGGUUGCCUAUAUAUCUGAUAAAGGCUUUCUGACUGCAAACAUUUCCCAUACAAUCACCAUGGUGGUGCUCCUCAUCAAGCCUCCCUUGAGCAAGCUCGCCUUCUUCCUCAUUUGCCUUGCCACAUUCGUGGCACAGACCUCACUGGCAGCUCAUGGAGCAAUGGCCCCUCACCGGCCUCACGCCCCCAACUCCGACCAGCUCGCGCUCAUGUCAUUCAAGUCACUCGUGACGAGUGACCCGUCGCGCGCCCUGGCGUCGUCAUGGGGCAACAUGUCCGUUCCCAUGUGCCGGUGGCGCGGCGUGGCGUGCGGCUUGAGGGGACACCGGCGGGGCCAUGUGGUUUCUCUGGACCUCCCUGAGCUCAACCUGACUGGCACCAUCACCCCUGCGCUGGGAAACCUCACUUACUUGAGGCGACUCAAUCUUUCAUCGAAUGGCUUCCAAGGGAUCCUGCCUCCAGAGCUCGGUAACAUCCAUGACCUUGAGACUCUGCAAAUUACCUACAACUCUCUCUCUGGGCAGAUUCCACCGUCACUUUCAAACUGUAGCCACCUGAUAGAGAUUUCCCUCGAUGACAACAAUUUCCAUGGGGGAGUACCCAGUGAGUUAGGCUCCUUGCAUCAUCUUCAGAUACUUAGUCUUGGCAAAAAUAGACUUACAGGAACAAUCCCUCCUACCAUCGCAAGCCUUGUAAAUCUGAAGAAACUAGUCCUAAGAUAUAACAACAUGACAGGAGAAAUCCCAGCUGAGGUAGGCAGCCUUGCCAACCUCAACGUGCUGAACCUAGGUGCAAAUCAGUUCUCAGGAACGAUCCCCAGUUCACUAGGGAACCUCUCAGCGUUGAUGGUUCUUUAUGCUUUCAAAAAUCAGUUUGAAGGAAGCAUUCCACCACUACAACACCUCUCGUCUCUUAGAGUUCUUGGAUUGGGCGGGAACAAACUCCAAGGAACCAUCCCUUCUUGGUUAGGCAACCUCUCUUCAUUAGGAUACCUAGAUCUUCAGCAAAAUGGUCUAGUUGGUCAGAUCCCAGAAUCAUUAGGAAAUCUUGAGAUGCUUACAACACUUUCUCUCUCACUAAACAAUCUUUCAGGCCCCAUACCUAGUUCGCUAGGCAACCUCUAUGCCCUCACUCAACUUGCUCUACCGUAUAAUGAGUUGGAAGGCCCUUUGCCCCCUUUAAUGUUCAAUAAUCUUUCCUCCCUCGAACUUCUAACUGUAGAAUACAACCACCUGAAUGGGACUCUACCACCUAAUAUCGGAAGCAACCUUCCGAAAUUAAAGUAUUUUCUCGUAUCAGACAAUGAAUUUCAGGGCAUGCUCCCGUCAUCCCUUUGCAACGCCUCCAUGCUUCAAGUUAUUGAAACAGUAGAAAACUUUCUGUCCGGAACGAUUCCAGAAUGCUUGGGAGCUAAACAAACGAGCCUGUCUGCAGUCACAAUUGCACAAAAUCAGUUUCAAGCAACAAACGAUGCUGAUUGGAGCUUUGUGGCUAGUCUGACAAACUGUAGCAACUUAGUUGUACUUGAUGUUAACUCGAAUAAUCUCCAUGGCAUGCUGCCAAAUUCAAUAGGUAAUCUCUCAACACAGCUGGAGUUUCUCAACAUUGGAAACAACAAUAUAACUGGAACAAUAACAGAAGGAAUCGGUAACCUCGUCAACUUGCAAACACUUUCCAUGCCUCAGAACUUUCUCAUAGGUGCUAUUCCAGCAUCUAUCGGCAACCUGAAUAAGUUGUCCGAAUUAUCUCUGUACGAUAAUGCUUUGUCUGGACCCUUGCCGGUAACUCUUGGCAAUCUUACACAGCUAACUAGACUUCUCCUCGGUAGAAAUGCUAUAAGUGGACCUAUACCAUCUACUCUCAGCCAUUGUCCUUUAGAAGUAUUGGAUCUUUCUCACAACAAUCUUUCUGGUCCGACACCUAAAGAACUCUUUUCCAUAUCAACCUUGUCGCGUUUCAUCAACAUUUCACAUAAUUCCUUAUCUGGGUCUUUGCCAUCAGAAGUUGGAAGUCUAGAAAAUCUGAACGGACUUGAUUUAUCUUAUAAUAUGAUUUCUGGUGAUAUUCCAUCCUCCAUUGGUGGGUGUCAAAGCCUAGAAUUUCUCAACUUAUCAGGAAACGUCCUUCAGGGCACAAUUCCACCUUCACUAGGAAAUCUAAAGGGCCUCGUAGGGCUUGAUCUUUCUCGCAAUAAUUUGUCAGGGACCAUUCCUGAGAUCCUUGCCAGACUAACUGGCCUUUCUAUAUUGGAUCUCACAUUCAAUAAACUCCAAGGUGGAGUUCCAAGUGAUGGGGUAUUUCUCAAUGCAACAAAGAUCUUAAUCACCGGGAAUGAUGGCCUUUGUGGCGGUAUCCCUCAACUUGGAUUGCCACCCUGCACCACCCAGACUACCAAGAAACCACAUCGAAAACUUGUCAUAACAGUCUCUGUAUGCAGUGCAUUUGCUUGUGUCACGUUAGUAUUUGCAUUGUUUGCACUCCAACAAAGGCGCCGCCAGAAGACAAAAUCACAUCAACAAAGUUCGGCCUUGAGUGAGAAAUACAUGAGGGUCUCUUAUGCAGAAUUGGUUAAUGCAACAAAUGGUUUUGCAUCCGAGAACCUCAUCGGAGCUGGGAGCUUUGGAUCAGUUUACAAAGGAACAAUGAGAAGCAACGACGAGCAAAUAGUGAUCGCUGUUAAGGUUCUCAACCUCAUGCAGCGUGGUGCAUCUCAAAGUUUUGUUGCUGAAUGCGAGACUUUAAGAUGUGCUCGACAUCGGAACCUUGUAAAGAUAUUGACUAUCUGUUCAAGCAUUGAUUUUAAGGGCCAUGACUUCAAGGCCCUCGUGUAUGAGUUUCUACCGAAUGGAAAUUUGGACCAAUGGCUGCACAAACAUAUCAUCGAAGAUGGUGAACCAAAGGCACUAGAUCUGACUGCAAGAUUAAAUGCUGCAAUUGACGUGGCAUCCUCACUUGAUUACCUUCACCAACAUAAGCCAACGCCGAUUGUUCACUGUGAUCUUAAACCAAGUAAUGUUCUCCUGGACAGUUCGAUGGUUGCUCGUGUGGGUGAUUUUGGGCUUGCGAGGUUUCUACAUCAAGAUAUAGGUACUUCAAGUGGAUGGGCAUCAAUGAGAGGAUCAAUUGGGUAUGCAGCUCCAGGUACCUUUCAUUUCCUCUGUUUACUGCACUAGGAUGGCUUCAUCCAAAGCUCAAGGGUUUCUUAGUGUCAACUUAGAUAUAUAUGUUGAGCUCAGCAAAGUUAACUUUUUACAAAAUUUGAAGAUCUUAUAUCUUGAAAUUACAAGAAACUACUUUACUACAUACUUACACGUAGUGCAUUGGAAAUGAAUUUUAACAUUAUAUCAGAAUUCUUUUUGACAGAAGUAUAUCAGAAUUCUUAAUGUUAUUUUAUCUAAUUUAAAAGAAAAUGUCAUUUGGUUUGUUUCAGAGUACGGACUGGGCAAUGAAGUAUCCACCCACGGUGAUGUCUACAGCUAUGGCAUACUAUUGCUGGAAAUGUUUACUGGGAAAAGACCAACAGACAACGAAUUUGGUGAAGCCAUGGAGCUCCGCAAGUAUGUUGAAAUGGCACUACCAGACAGAGUGAGUAUUAUCAUGGACCAACAGCUACAAAUGAAGACAGAAGAUGGCGAACCAGCCACUUCAAACUCCAAGCUGACAAUUUCUUGCAUCACUUCAAUUCUGCAAGUUGGGAUUUCCUGUUCGGAGGAGAUGCCCACAGAUCGCGUGUCUAUUGGAGAUGCUCUGAAAGAGUUGCAAGCGAUUAGAGAUAAGUUUGAGAAGCUCCUCUGCAGUGAGGAAACAUCAUCAUCCCACUGAAGGUUCUUUAGGUGGGCUUGAGAUCGAUAUGUGUGAAUCUGUGAGUGUGUGAAUGUGUGAUUGCAAGAGAGAAACAACAGAAUUUUCAACAAUGUUGUAGCAACAGUGCCACAAGUGGUCGCAAGAAUAAAAGAGAAUAUAGAGCAAAGGAAGAGAGCAUUCGCUUAUGUGUAGAUGUUGUUUUCCCUUUGUUUGGGGAGUGUGUUUCCCUCUUUUCCUGUUUCUUGGGGCCUUAACACUCCUAUUGAGUGUCUUUGCUUGUACAGAAACUCUCUUUCCUUAUCUUAAUUGAAAGGCAGAGCUCAUGUCAUUGCGUUCAAAUGAUAUAUUUUACUACUCUUUGAGGAAGCACCAAUAUUCUUCCAAAUAAAGUUGUAGAUCCUUUUCAAUUGUUUGUUUGAACUAAAGCGUUUAUGUGUUGAUCAUACUGAUCUUAACAAGACCCUAAAGAGUUGUGUUCAUAUUUUUUUUUUCACAAAUCUUGUAUGCAUUUUUUUUCUUAUUACAAAUCUUGUGUGCACAAUUUUGUUUCACUAGUAUUGUGCAAAAUUUUAUCCAUAAAAAUCUUGUGUGCAUAAUUUGGUUUUGUUUAAUAAAAUAUUGUGACUGGGUGUGGUUGUGCCACCGCGCGCGCCCAGCUCGCCCUGCCUCAGAGUAUGAUCUUGGGUGCAAGCUCCAAGCCCAGCUGAAAGCGAAAUGCCGGAUGGUCGCAGCAUUCAGAAGAGCAGAACAGGCCCGGAAAAACAACCAUUCAGAUCAGCGGUUGCAUCCUGCACAAGUACUGACUGUGAUCGAUCAUACUGGCUCUUAUUACAUUGUCAUCGGCACAAACUGCUAGUGGUGUCAAUUGCUCUGAGGCACUGUUUAAUCCCCAAGUGAAAAAUUUCGUGACACUGUAGCAUUUUUCGUUUGUUUAUGGUAAUUAUUGUCCAAACAUGAAUUAACUAGGCUCAAAAGAUUCGUCUCGUAAAUUCCAACCAAACUUUGUAAUUAGUUUUUAUUUUCGUCUAUAUUAAUACUCCAUGUAUGCGUCUAAAGAUUCGAUGUGACGAAGAAUCUUAAAAAAAAAUUCGUAAGGUUGCUUGCCUGAUACACAUACACUUGGUGGUGCCGUCAGGGGAAGAGCAGAAACCGAGCUGGAGAGGACGUGCACGACGUCACGCAUGGUGGGCCGUGCGUGUCUGCUCUCGCGGAUCGGACGCACGAUAUUCCCACCGUGAAGAGGCGAGCGAUCAGGCCGGCCGGCUCUGGCGGCAGCCGGGGGUGCGCCACGGCCAGGACUGCCGCCGUGUCCGUGGGUCUCGGCACGACGCUCUGCGUCUCGUCGCCCCGUGCAGCGUGUACGCGUACUCCGCACGCACCACCUACUCCGUGCCUGUCACUGUAUUGCUAUGGCAACGCAACAGUGUAUGCCGAGCGCACGUCACGUUCUUAGUUCUUUACCAGGAGCGAUGUACCCAUUACGUGCCGGCGACGACCGACAUGGGCUCCUGCGCCGCCACCGCUGUCGUGGUGCCGGAGCAGGACGCGCGCGGCGCGGCUGAGGAACUUGGCGAGGCCGAAUUCGGCGACGUGCGCCUCCAUCCAUCGCCGAGAGCACACUCUGCCGAUGGCGUUCUCCUCCCUGAGGCACCCGAGCACGUCGUCAUGUUCUUGAACCGUGUCAUCUUCCACGCCGUAGGCCGCCCACGGAUUACAUGUAAAUUAUGUAAUUAUGGACUAACUAUACUUAAAAGAUUUGUCUCGUAAAAUAACAUAUAAAGGCCCUGUUUAGAUUGGAGAUGAAAAAAUUUUAGAUGUCACUUCAGAUGUGUCGGAAGGAUGUCGGGAGGGGGUGUUUAGAAACUAAUAAAAAACAAAUUACAUAGCUCGUCUGGAAACUUCAAUACAAAUCUAUUAAGCAUAAUUAAUCUGUCAUUAGCAUAUGUAGGUUACUGUAGCACUUAAGGCUAAUCAUAGACUAACUAGGCUUAAAAGAUUCGUCUCGCGAUUUUAAACCAACCUGUGUAAUUAGUUUAUUUUUUAUCUACAUUUAAUGUUCCAUGUAUGUGUUCAAAGAUUCGAUGUGAUGGAUGAAAAAUUUUUAGAUAGGGCCAAAGUCUCAUAAAAUUUGAUAUGAUAGAAAAUCUUAAAAAAAAUUUAGAUUUUAGGGUGAACUAAUUAAAUAAGGCCGGAAUAAUAAUCCACGUCCUCGUCCGCUGUCCCUUUCCACGCGUAACGCGCGUGGCACAUUCAUUGUUUAGCCCAUGGUGCACGUCAGAGUCCAGUGAGUGUCAAGCGUCACGUAUUCACGUCCGGCGCGGCAAGGCAGAAGCGGAAGCCCGUAGGAACUUUCCUCCAAGCCCCCAUGCAGGGCUGCAGGCCGUUGCACGCAGCACUUCCCUGGAUACCUCUGGCCCGGCAGUUUCCUCUCCUGGUUGGCGGCUCCUCCAUCGACGCCGCCGCUGCACACCACUACAGCCGCAAGUGCGUCAUCAUCAGUUUACAGCCUGCUGUCAGUCAUUUAAUAGUAUUUUUUUUUUCAUAAAAAAUCAGUCAACGAUAUUUUUUACAACCGGCGCACACAGACUUGGAAGUUGGAACGCCAACCAACGCGGCAAGUCAGGUCCAUAUAUUCCAUUCCAUCCAUCCAUCCGGCGGCGUGCGCGCAUCCAAAAGAGUCCAAUGCAAGUUGAGCGCGGGCGCGGCCGGUGCAGAAGCACCAAGGUCCAACGCCGACGACGCCGUACGUGCUCGCUGUCGCUAGGGGGUGGGCCGGCCGGGGAUCCACCUAAUAAACUAUUGACUGCAUGCGGCCACCUGUCCUUGUCGAAAUGGUAGGCGAGCCCCGGCGGCAGGCAUGCAUGAGCAGUGACCGGCCACAGACCACAGUAGCAACAGCAUGCAUGAGUGCAACAACGAGCGAGCCAGCGCGCGAGUGCCUGUGCUUCUCACUCAUGCACCGCCGCACCGGUGGCUCGCUCACUCGCGCGCUCAUCACCACACGUUUAGUCACGAUGUAGCUGGGCGUCUGCGUCUAGCGCUGCAUAAUUGCUCUAGGUCUGUUUGGUCGAAGUUGUUAAAGUUUAAUAGGUACGGUAGCAUUUUCGUUUUAUUUAACAAUUAGUGUCUAUUCAUAGACUAAUUAGGCUCAAAAGAUCCGUCUCGCAAAUUACUCUCUAGUUGUAUUUUUAGUUUUAUAAAUAGUUUAUAUUUAAUACUUCAUGCAUAUGUCCAAACAUUCGAUGUGACUGACAAUAAACUUUAACUGACGCAACCAAACGGGCCCUAGUCGUCUCGGCCGGGUCCCGGCCUGCAGUCCAAGACAAUUAUUGCCAUAUCAAGCCAUAUCUCUCGUGAUGAAUUGAAACAAACUAAUUUGAUGUUUACAGAUUUUUUGUGUAUUUUUAAAUAAAAUUAGUACAAUUGGUACAAGCUCCAUGUAGAACAAAGCUAGAAACUAUUGAUAUUUUAGAACAAAGUCGGUAUGUUUAGAACAAAGUCAGUAAAUUCUAAAUUUACUCAAACUAGAUAUAUACACACCUCAAAUUUCCCCAAAACAGUUAUUUUUUUAAAAAAAAAUAGAUUUCUUGUUAGGGAUGUGGGUUGUUGGGUGGAUCUAAUUUUUACGGUGUCCAAAAUAAACUUUUAGGUUCUGCCGGAGUUUUUCUACGACGCAGGUGCACGAGGUUUGAUGGGGCUAGCAUGCAUGGAACUAAAUAAAUGGGUCCUAUAAAUAUAUUGAUGUGGGUAUAGAUGCAGGGACGAAGCCAGAAAAAAAUUUAGAAAUGGCUGAACAAAAGUUCUACAUCAACUUAGCUCUACUAUUACUCCUCGUAAAUAUAGAUUAAUAAUGAAAUUCACAAAAUAUAUCUAAAAAAUAAAGUGUUCUGUCCACACUACCUUAUAAAUUUGUGUCUAAAAUUAGAAGAAGAACACUAAAAAUUCCACUGGACCAGCAGCGGUAGGGGGGCUGGAGCCCCCCUAGCCCCCCUGCUGGCUUCGUCGCUGUAUAGAUGUAGAUAUUUUAUUUAAAGAGUGAAACAUACAAUCGGUUCUUAAGUUUUUCACAUUUCAUAUUAGUGUUCAUUAACCGUCAUUCAGCUUUUUAAGUAGUUCACUAUAAAUCUAAUCAUAGACCUGAAGUCAUACUUCAAAUAAACUAUUUGAAAAGUUAAAGGACCUGUAUAAUCAUUUUGAAUAGGUAAAUGAGAAUGUAGGAAAAAUUAAAGAAUAAAGACCCAUAGUGUAUUGAGUCUCUAUCAAAUAAUCGGGUGUCUGUACAUUCUUUUUCAUUUUUUUAUUUGUAUUAUUUAUCUUCUACCUCUCGCCCUGACGGUCGGCCACCGCGCGCUAAGGUUCAUCCCAGACCGCCCUCUUCCACUCUCUUCCACCCUUGUCAUCUUCUCCAGCUCUAGCGAGCUCAUCGAUCACCAUAUUCUCCAGCUAUCCAUUUAUCCUUGUAGAAUUUUAAAUUUACCCUCUCUUUAUUUAACAUUUGUUUAGUUUUUUAAAAAAAAUACAAAUUCCUCGUCACAUCGAAUAUUGCGGCACAUGCAUAAAGCAAUAAAUAUAGAUAAAAAAUAACUAAUUACACAGUUUAUCUGUAAUUUGCGAGACGAAAUCUUUUAAGGUUAGUUAGUUUAUGAUUAGACGAAAAUAAUGAACUAAACAAGGCCUAGUUCAUAAAAAUACAUGACGACACAUCAAUCAUCAUCAUCACCAAAUAAUGACCGAGGAGCCUCACACAGUCACACAUCCGGCAUUCCCUGUUUCCGUUGCUGUGUCGCACUCGCACGCCUCGUGCUCGUGCUCCCUCCGCCUUCCUUCCCUUCCACCGUUUGCUCUGCGUGGCCGCGUCUCCCCAGAUCGCAAUUCGCAAGAAACGAACCCCGCCCGCAACCCACCCUCUCACCGCGGCAUUUCCUCGAACGCCCCGCGCGUGCCGCGCCCCUCGCCGCCCAUGGGCUCCCUCCCGGUGCCAGCCUCGGCGGAAUGCGCCCCGCAGGGGCGCGCCACGGUGUCGGCGUCGGACCUGGCGCCGCUCUUCUCCGCGCAGCGCCGGCACCUGGACCACUUCUUCGACAGCCUCGACAUGUCGCAGGCGGCGGCGUUCGCGCAGGCGCUGAUCGACGCGCCGGGCGCCGUCUUCUUCACGGGCGUCGGCAAGUCGGGCAUCGUGGCGUGCAAGAUCGCGCAGACGCUGGCGUCGCUGGGCUUCGCGAGGGCGGGGUUCCUGGCCCCCGUCGACGCGCUCCACGGCGACAUCGGCGCGCUCUUCCCCGGGGACGUCCUCGUGCUCAUCUCCAAGUCCGGAGCCUCCGACGAGCUGCUCGCGCUCGCGCCCUGCGCGCGCGCCAAGGGCGCCUACCUCAUCUCGCUCACCUCCGCGGCCUCGGGGGCUGAAUGCCCGCUCGCCGCGGCCUGCGACCUCAACGUCCACCUGCCGCUGCAGGGAGAGGUGUGCCCCUUCGGCCUCGCGCCCGUCACCUCCACCGCCAUCCAGAUGGUGUUUGGGGACACCGUCAUCGCCGCCAUCAUGGAGGCAAGGCGACUCUCCAGGGACCAGUACGCCUCCAACCAUCCCGCUGGCAAGAUCGGCAAGACCCUCAUCUUCAAGGUGAAUCAAUCACCUCUAACCCUAACAUAAACAUGCUGAUGGCAUUACAGUUACUUGUUUUUUUAAGAAACGCUCAAAUUACUUUGUGCCGACACCCAGUGAGAUAUGAGAUCCCAGACACCCAGACGCUUUAUCACUGCUAGGAUUCCUUCACCGUUGCGUGUCGGUGGCGGUGGGAUCGGUUCAAAAUUGCCUUGGUUAAACGGUCACUAUGAUUCGA
rnacentral:lncRNA from 1 species